AUCGCUUCUCGGCCUUUUGGCUCAGAUCAAGUGUAGUAUCUGUUUUUAUCAGUUUAAUAUCUGAUACGUCCCCCAUCGGGGGACUACAUAUUAAAUGGAUUUUUCGAACAGGGAGUCGGAAAUGGGGCUUGCUCCGUCCGCUCCACGCAUCGACCCGGUAUUGCAGUACCUCCGGGAACGGUGCAACACUU
rnacentral:snRNA from 8 species